rnacentral:rRNA from 1 species
GACGAACGCUGGCGGCGUGCUUAACACAUGCAAGUCGAACGGAAAGGCCCUGCUUGCAGGGUACUCGAGUGGCGAACGGGUGAGUAACACGUGGGUGAUCUGCCCUGCACUUCGGGAUAAGCCUGGGAAACUGGGUCUAAUACCGGAUAGGAGCCAUUUUUAGUGUGAUGGUUGGAAAGUUUUUUUCGGUGUAGGAUGAGCUCGCGGCCUAUCAGCUUGUUGGUGGGGUAAUGGCCUACCAAGGCGGCGACGGGUAGCCGGCCUGAGAGGGAGGACGGCCACAUUGGGACUGAGAUACGGCCCAGACUCCUACGGGAGGCAGCAGUGGGGAAUAUUGCACAAUGGGCGCAAGCCUGAUGCAGCGACGCCGCGUGGGGGAUGACGGCCUUCGGGUUGUAAACUCCUUUCGCUAGGGACGAAGCUUUUUGUGACGGUACCUAGAUAAGAAGCACCGGCUAACUACGUG